UAUACUAUAUGACAGACAUAUCCUCUGUCAUAUAGAACAGAGGAUUUACUUUAAAACAGACAACUUCAGAGUUGCAAAAAAAAAAAUCUGCAACAUACUUUGCUUGAGUAACAAAGGCUGAUGGGGUUUUGGCCUUCCAGAAUUAAUGGACCACUUUGUCUUCCUUGAGGCAUAUCAGAGCUUAAUACCAUGAACAAAAUGCUGGUGUGACCUUUGGUUCCAGAAGAAAUCAAGUCUCAACAGAGCUCUUGGAUCCUGGAGAAACCUGAUGAGAGAUGUCAUUCCAAACCCCCUGACAGAGAAGGAAGAGGAGUAAUAGUACUCACAUGUAAAUGCAGUGAGGCAAGCCCUGAAAAAUGCUUUACAACCAGAGGGAAAAUUGAGGAAUAGGAGUGCCCAAAAAAGAACUUUGUACUACAGAUACCUGUGGGGUGGGAAGAAAAUACUAAACAGGUAAUGGAGAACAGAGAGGGUAGAGAAAUCCUCUGUAAAUACUACAGUGAGGUUCUUGAACUACAGUUGUAUCUCUAAUAAUCAUCUGAAUAGAUACGGAAUAUUUAUAUAAGCUAAAGCAAAGAGUCCAUGGGUAUUGCUUUCAAACAUCCAUACUACCUAAGGGACUAGCCUGUGUAAAAUGUUUUCCAAAUGAACUUGGUUAAAAUUUCAGAAGUAUGAGUGGCUGGGAAUGAGAAUUUCCAGCAUAUCUGACAGUAGAGGAAAAGUAGAAACUGCUCAUCUUGUAAAAUUCUAUAGGUCACCCAGUUUCAGGUUGUAUGCCCAGUUUCAGGUUGUUUGCCCUUAUUAAAGCACCAAGUGUUUCUGGACUAAUUACAGUAAAAGCACAGUUGUUCAACAGUGGUGUUUAUCUGUUUGCUCAGCAUAGUGAUCACUGAUUCUUGCGUGAGUGACAGAAAGGUUAAGUUAGAGAUCUCCUGAAGGAGGACUUUGUUAGCCAUAGGGGACAAAAGGAGGGGAAAAAAGGACUGACAAAGGUUGUAUAGAAAGAAACCUUUAAUGAAGAUUUGCCAUAAGGCAAGAUAAUAGUUCUUGAGUGUUAUGAACUGCAGAAACUGCAUGAACGCAUUAUAUUUUAAACACUUAAUCUGUUUUACAAACUAUGUACAUUCUUCUGCUAAAUAAGAUGAAUUGGGAUUCAAGAAGCAGCACAUCCUGACAAAUCUUCUCCUGAAGGCAUCCAUUAAUA